UACGUAGGGGGCAAGCGUUGUCCGGAUUUAUUGGGCGUAAAGAGCGUGUAGGCGGCCAGGUAGGUCUGCUGUGAAAACUCGAGGCUUAACCUCGAGCUGUCGGCGGAAACCUCUGGCUAGAGUCCGGAAGAGGAGAGUGGAAUUCCUGGUGUAGCGGUGAAAAUGCGCAGAUAUCAGGAAGAACGCCCCUGGCGAAGGCGGGCUCUCUGGGGACGGUAC
rnacentral:rRNA from 1 species